GCGGCCGUGGCGGAAUUGGUAGACGCGCCAGCUUGAGGGGCUGGUGGGGGCAACCCCGUGGAAGUUCGAGUCUUCUCGGCCGCACCA
rnacentral:tRNA from 1 species